GACGAACGCUGGCGGCGUGCUUAACACAUGCAAGUCGAACGGAAAGGCCCUGCUUUUGUAGGGUGCUCGAGUGGCGAACGGGUGAGUAACACGUGAGUAACCUGCCCUUGACUUUGGGAUAACUUCAGGAAACUGGGGCUAAUACCGGAUAGGAGCUCCUGCUGCAUGGUGGGGGUUGGAAAGUUUCGGCGGUUGGGGAUGGACUCGCGGCUUAUCAGCUUGUUGGUGGGGUAGUGGCUUACCAAGGCUUUGACGGGUAGCCGGCCUGAGAGGGUGACCGGCCACAUGGGGACUGAGAUCCGCCCCAGACUCCUACGGGGGGCAGCGGUGGGGAAUAUUGCACAAGGGGCGGAAGCCUGAGGCAGAAACGCCGGGGGGGGGAUGACGGCUUUGGGGUUGUAAACCGCUUUCGCCUGUGACGAGGGGUGAGGGACGGUAAGGGGUAAAGAAGCACCGGCUAACUACG
rnacentral:rRNA from 1 species